ACAUGCCUAUAACAUAGCAUUAAUGCAUUGGAUCCCAUUAGAACUCCGUAGUUAAGCGCGCUCAGGCUAGAGUAGUACUGGGAUGGGUGAUCGCCUAGGAAGUCCUAGUGUUUUACAUGCC
rnacentral:rRNA from 1 species